GAUGAACGCUGGCGGCGUGCCUAAUACAUGCAAGUCGAGCGAACAGACGAGGAGCUUGCUCCUCUGACGUUAGCGGCGGACGGGUGAGUAACACGUGGAUAACCUACCUAUAAGACUGGGAUACCUUCGGGAAACCGGAGCUAAUACCGGAUAAUAUAUUGAUCCGCAUGGUUCAAUAGUGAAAGACGGUUUUGCUGUCACUUAUAGAUGGAUCCGCGCCGCAUUAGCUAGUUGGUAAGGUAACGGCUUACCAAGGCAACGAUGCUUAGCCGACCUGAGAGGGUGAUCGGCCACACUGGAACUGAGACACGGUCCAGACGCCUACGGGAUGCAGCAGUAGGGAAUCUUCCGCAAUGGGCGAAAGCCUGACGGAGCAACGCCGCGUGAGUGAUGAAGGUCUUCGGAUCGUAGAACGCUGUUAUUAGGGAAGAACAAAUGUGUAAGUAACUAUGCACGUCUUGACGGUACCUAAUCAGAAAGCCACGGCUAACUACGUG
rnacentral:rRNA from 1 species